GCUUAGAGAGGGGUCAAUGUCCUACCAGCUAGUUGGUAAGGUAAUGGCUUACCAAGGCUAAGACGGGUAGCCGGCCUGAGAGGGUGGUCGGCCACACUGGGACUGAGACACUGCCCAGACUCCUACGGGAGGCUGCAGUCGAGAAUCUUUCGCAAUGCCCGAAAGGGUGACGAAGCGACGCCGCGUGUGGGAAGAAGGCCUUCGGGUUGUAAACCACUGUCGGGAGUUAAGAAAUGUAAGGGUGUUAAUAGCAUCCUUACUUGACUAAGGCUCCGGAGGAAGCCACGGCUAACUCUGUGCCAGCAGCCGCGGUAAUACAGAGGCGGCAAGCGUUGUUCGGAAUUAUUGGGCGUAAAGAGCACGUAGGCGGCUUUGUAAGUCAGUUGUGAAAGCCUUCCGCUUAACGGAAGAGCGGCAUCUGAUACUGCAAGGCUAGAGUGCGGAAGGG
rnacentral:rRNA from 1 species